CGAGUAAAAGCUCCUCCCAGGUACCCCAUGUUUGUUUCUCGGGAAAGCUGUGGUGUUUAGCCAUGAAAUAAAUGAAAAGAAGAGAAGGAAAAGAUAUUAAUAGUACCGGUCACGGUUCAAUAAUAAGUCUCUUUUUGCGAAUAAGUAAGUACCUUUUUAUUCAAAUAAAAUUUUCUAUUUAUGAUUCGUUUGUACUCUAGAAUUUUUAAGGGAAUAGCUAGGCUGCUUCAAUUUCAUUUCCAUUGUAGGUUAAAAUCAUCUUCAAAUAUCUUCCUCGUAUAUUAUUUUCGGAUUUUAUUUUUUAAAAUUUUAUAAUUUAAAUCUUAUUAUUAACCUCAUCAAAAAAAAACCUAUUGGAAUAAUGUUAAUUAGAAAUAAAUCUAAAUGAAUGGAGUUGGAGCAUAUUUGUUAUUAUUUAUUAUUUUGAAGUAGGAGGGGUGUCAUGAAUUUAGAAUGGGAAAGGGAGCCCUAGGAUGCCGAACCAGAAGGAACAGGCCUAAGGUUAUUGGGCUGAUUGAUUGAUGGAGGGUGAGGCGGACCAAGUUAGCAACAUUUAGUAGCGGGCUGAUUCCUACAGCAAGCCCAAGGGACUGAUUUAAUGACUGGAUUGCUGAUGACUCAUUUUCCUCUCAUGCUAGCUGUUAAAAAAGUGAAGUUUGUUACAACAGAAUUUCUAUUAUAUUCUCAAGGCAUGGAAUGAAAUCAGUAGUUUCCCUUUCUCUC
rnacentral:lncRNA from 1 species